UAGUAACGGCGAGUGAAGCGGGAUGAGCUCAAGCUUAAAAUCUCUGUGCCAGUUUGGCAUGGCGAAUUGUAGUCUAUAGAGGCGUUGUCAGUGCGGCUGUGCGGGGUAAGUUCCUUGGAAGAGGACAGCAUCGAGGGUGAUACUCCCGUUUGUACCUGUGCGGCUUGCGCGUACGACACGUUUUCUUCGAGUCGCGUUGUUUGGGACUGCAGCGCAAAGUAGGUGGUAAAUUCCAUCUAAAGCUAAAUAUUGGUGCGAGACCGAUAGCGAACAAGUACCGUGAGGGAAAGAUGAAAAGAACUUUGAAAAGAGAGUUAAAGAGUACCUGAAACUGCUGAAAGGGAAGCGAAUCGUAUCCAGUGUCUAUAAUCUGCGGCAUAUUUCAUUGGCGGCGGUGUGCGUGCUUUUGCGUCGGAAGCGGCUUUUGUUGCUCUGUGCUUUUGCUGUGCGUGCUGUUGCUGGUGCCCUGUGUUGCGGUGGGACGUCAGAGUCAGUUUGCAUGCUGCGGGAAAUGGCUGCCGAGGAGGUAGGUCAGGAUUUCGGUCUUGGCUGUUAUAUCUUGGUGGUUUGUUGUCGUGGUUGAGACUGAGGUGCCUACAAUGUGCUUUUGAGUGUGCCGGGUUCUCAUUUGGUGGACUGUUUGGAUAGCUUGCUAUGCUUGUGGUUUUUUCAUCGGGUGAUUGAGUCUGGUGGUAACUUAUUGCCGUUC
rnacentral:rRNA from 1 species